AGUGGCGCCAGUAACUGCCCCGGUCAAACAGAGGCCCAGAUCAAGUUUCCUCUGACGGUCGCUGCUCCGGCUGCUGUGCUGGGGGUCAGCAACAUUGAGGGGAAUACAGGC
rnacentral:snoRNA from 1 species